GAUAAAAAAAACAUGGCGGCUGCUUGUUUCUUGACUUCGCUUCAACAUUUUAAACUCAUCAUGAACUCCCAAUAUGCAACAAAUAUACACAAUUUCAAGUCUAUUGUGUACGUACGGUUGGGAAGUAAUGUAUUUGCAUUCAAUUCUGACAGAAAAGUUUUGUGGCGAUUACCUGAAUUAAAUCAGUGCAUAUAGACCUCUAGAAAGAAGCCUACACAAGUUCCAGGAAAUACAAGAUGAAGAGUAUAAGUUGCCAUUAUAAAGGGAUAAUGUAGUCAGCACUAUGCCCAGCCACUUUUUUUGCUUUCCCCAAUGUCAAGUACCCAUCAGAGCUGAGUGUUCUCAGGUAAAUGGAACUUCAUGAAAAUUGAAGAAAAAUUAAUAACAAGUAAAUGAACAUGGUGUUAUGGGUUGCUGCAAUCACCACUUUAAUAGAAUUUUUCAAGGACAAUUUAAAUGUAGUAAAGAAAUAGGGAUGCCACUACAAAUCUGGUGAUGUCUUUUAUAUCUACACAAAGGAAUCAGUUACUAGCUUGUGCAAGCAUGAAAAAAAACAUGUAUAAUGUAAAUGUAACUUUACAUUUGAACAAAGCUAUGAAAGUAACAUUUCUUCAUGUGAAUGUCCCAGAGGAGCUAACAGGUGUUCACAGACUGCUGUACAGUUUUGCCUUGUUUAUUCACCAAGAAACCCCAUGUACAACUUAUGAAAAUGCUGUGUAGGAUCUGCUUUUGGUUUCUCAACGCCAGAAAGACAAGAUGAAGAGUAUAAGUUGCCAUUAUUUUAAGAUAUUUUAUUUUAGAAUAUACUGAUUUUGAGAUAAUUUUGAUUUUGAUGAAAUUGAUUGUUUAAAAAAAAUCAAUGUUUAAAAUAAAGUCCAAAUAAAUAAAAUAUAUUAGAUAACAUUAGGCCAAUGAAACAAAACCCUCAUAUUUGCCAUAAUUAUUUAUAUCAAACAACAUAAUUAAAAUACUAAUGUAUGUAAAAUUAGUUAAUUGCAUACAAUUUUCUUUACCACAUUGACAAUUUGUAUUUAUGAUGAAAUUAUAAGCUCAUAAUUAUAUCAAAAUAAUAAUAA